UUUAAUAUGGCAGAAUAGUGCAAUGGAUUUAAGCCCCAUAUAUAAAAUUAAAAUUUUUAUUAAAA
rnacentral:tRNA from 1 species